GCCGAGAUAGCUCAGUUGGUAGAGCAGAGGACUGAAAAUCCUCGUGUCAC
rnacentral:tRNA from 5 species